rnacentral:rRNA from 1 species
CACGGAGUUAGCCGAUCCUUAUUCAUAUGGUACAUACAAGAGGGUAUGCAUACCCUGUUUUAUUCCCAUAUAAAAGAAGUUUACAACCCAUAGGGCAGUCAUCCUUCACGCUACUUGGCUGGUUCAGACUCUCGUCCAUUGACCAAUAUUCCUCACUGCUGCCUCCCGUAGGAGCUUGGACCGUGUCUCAGUUCCAAUGUGGGGGACCUUCCUCUCAGAACCCCUAUCCAUCGUCGUCUUGGUGGGCCGUUACCCCGCCAACUAACUAAUGGAACGCAUCCCCAUCGAUAACCGAAUUCUUAAUAUCAAGAUCAUGCGACCUUGAUAUCCUAUCGGAUAUUAAUCUUUCUUCGAAAGGCUAUCCCCGAGUUAUCGGCAGGUUGGAUACGUGUUACUCACCGUGCGCCGUCGCCAUCGGAAGUUUGCAAGCAAAACUCCCAUGCUCGCCCCUCGACUUGCAUGUGUUAAGCCUGUAGCUAGCGUUCAUCCUGAGCCAGGAUA